rnacentral:lncRNA from 1 species
AUGGAGAAAAUCAAAAUAAUUUAUACCACGCGAUUUCAUAACCCUAAGAAAACAAUAUCAACUCCAGAGCGCUCCACCUUAGCUACCAUUCUAAACAAACUGAACCUUACGAAUUAGGGCAGGAUUUCAAUUUUCUACGAAGCUCGUUUCUUCAAGCAGUUUCGCUAGGAUUAAGCGAAGCUCUAAGCGGGAAUGUCUCGUGCUUGUUUCAAUGCAUGCUUACGCAUCGAAGAUGCACAAGUCUUGACAAGAUAGAAACAUCUGAAGGAGCAGAGUUAACUGCCUUAGCUUUCCUUUAUGUUGGAAAUCUGGCAUCCAAACUGUUGGAGCCUAGCGACUUGAAGACGAUGCAUUUAAUAUCAGCACUUGAAGGCGAAAACUAUAGUAUAUAAUAUUUUUUGUUUGAUCAAAGAAUAUACAGUGAAGCAGCAAAGUAGCCAUAAGAUUGUAACCGUCCAUCAUCAAUAAGAAAAGCUUGAAAUUUUCAAAAGAUUUGCAGACCCAUCAAUAGGGUAAUGACAUCUUUAAAUAAAAAGGCAUGCUCUCAACUUCCCAGAGUAAGUUAUUAGGCAUGGGGCUGCUGAACAUCCAGGGAAUGUUUCUAUAACCUUGGAGCUAGGCGAUUGAGAGGAUGGUCCCAAUCGGCUACAAUGUGGGCACGAGUGAUUUCCUUGAGGGAACGGCAACCACUUAACGCCAUAGUAAGUUCAAACU